GAUGAACGCUGACAGAAUGCUUAACACAUGCAAGUCUUUGGCGAAGCUGUGCUUGCACAGCCUAGCCAAGGCGGACGGGUGAGUAACGCGUAAGGGACUUGUCCUGCAGUCAGGGAUAACAGACGGAAACGACUGAUAAAACCUGGUAAAGUCAGGCGGACUCAUGUCCAGCCUGAUGAAAAGGAAUGCUGCAGGAGAGCCUUGCGUCCUAUUAGCUCGUUGGUGGGGUAACGGCCCACCAAGGCGAUGAUAGGUAGCCGGCCUGAGAGGGUGGACGGCCACAAGGGGACUGAGAUACGGCCCUUACUCCUACGGGAGGCAGCAGUGGGGAAUAUUGGACAAUGGGGGCAACCCUGAUCCAGCAAUUCUGUGUGCACGAUGAAGGUCUUCGGAUUGUAAAGUGCUUUCAGCAGGGAAGAAAAAAAUGACGGUACCUGCAGAAGAAGCGACGGCUAAAUACGUGCCAGCAGCCGCGGUAAUACGCAUGUCGCGAGCGUUAUCCGGAAUUAUUGGGCAUAAAGGGCAUCUAGGCGGCCGGAUAAGUCUGGGGUGAAAACUUGCGGCUCAACCGCAAGCCUGCCCUGGAAACUAUGCGGCUAGAGUACUGGAGAGGUGGACGGAACUGCACGAGUAGAGGUGAAAUUCGUAGAUAUGUGCAGGAAUGCCGAUGAUGAAGAUAGUUCACUGGACGGUAACUGACGCUGAAGUGCGAAAGCUAGGGGAGCAAACAGG
rnacentral:rRNA from 1 species